GUGNAGCGGUGAAAUGCGUAGAUAUAUGGAGNAACACCAGUGGGGAAAGCGGCUNUCUGGUCUGUCACUGACGCUGAGGCUCGAAAGCGUGGGUAGCGAACAGGAUUAGAUACCCUGGUAGUNCACGCCGUAAACGAAGAGUGCUAGGUGUUAGGCCCUUUCCGGGGCUUAGUGCCGGAGCUAACGCAAUAAGCACUCCGCCUGGGGAGUACGACCGCAAGGUUGAAACUCAAAGGAAUUGACGGGGGCCCGCACAAGCGGUGGAGCAUGUGGUUUAAUUCGAAGCAACGCGAAGAACCUUACCAGGUCUUGACAUCCCGAUGCUAUUCUUAGAGAUAGGAAGUUACUUCGGUACAUCGGAGACAGGUGGUGCAUGGUUGUCGUCAGCUCGUGUCGUGAGAUGUUGGGUUAANNNANAAAAANNNAGCGCAACCCUUAUUGUUAGUUGCCAUCAUUAAGUUGGGCACUCUAGCGAGACUGCCGGUAAUAAACCGGAGGAAGGUGGGGAUGACGUCAAAUCAUCAUGCCCCUUAUGACCUGGGCUACACACGUGCUACAAUGGUCGGUACAACGAGUUGCGAGCCGGUGACGGCAAGCUAAUCUCUGAAAGCCGAUCUCAGUUCGGAUUGGAGGCUGCAACU
rnacentral:rRNA from 1 species